AAUAGACACUUAGAGGAUACUAGUAAGAGACUUCACUAUACCAUUCUCCUGCUUGCUAUAACAAGCACAUCUAACAUAUUUCAUGUUCUCUCUUCCAUGAGACAAACCAUUAUAUAAACUUAAACAGC
rnacentral:snoRNA from 1 species